rnacentral:rRNA from 1 species
CAGGGAUUGCCUUAGUAGCGGCGAGCGAAGCGGCAACAGCUCAAAUUUGAAAUCUGGCUACUUCGUAGUCCGAGUUGUAAUUUGUAGAGGAUGCUUUUGGUGAGGUGCCUUCCGAGUUCCCUGGAACGGGACGCCGGAGAGGGUGAGAGCCCCGUACGGUUGGAUACCAAGCCUUUGUAUAGCUCCUUCAACGAGUCGAGUAGUUUGGGAAUGCUGCUCUAAAUGGGAGGUAUAUCUCUUCUAAAGCUAAAUACCGGCUAGAGACCGAUAGCGCACAAGUAGAGUGAUCGAAAGAUGAAAAGCACUUUGAAAAGAGAGUUAAACAGCACGUGAAAUUGUUGAAAGGGAAGCGCCUAUGACCAGACUUGUUUCUGUCAGUUUUGCUUGUUUUCGGACUUGUUUACUCUGUCAGUACAGGCCAACAUCAGUUUGUUGUUUGGGAGAAAGGCUUAGGGAAUGUGGCUCUUUCGAGAGUGUUAUAGCCCUUUGCAUAAUACCAUUCGGCAGACUGAGGACCGCGCUUCGGCAAGGAUGUUGGCGUAAUGGUCAUCAGCGACCCGUCUUGAAACACGGACCAAGGAGUCAACCUUAUGUGCGAGUGUUUGGGUGUAAAACCCCAGCGCGUAAUGAACGUGAACGUAGGUGAGAGCUUCGGCGCAUCAUCGACCGAUUCUGAUGUUCUCGGAUGGAUUUGAGUAAGAGCAUAUAGGGUUGGACCCGAAAGAAGGUGAACUAUGCUUGUAUAGGGUGAAGCCAGAGGAAACUCUGGUGGAGGCUCGCAGCGGUUCUGACGUGCAAAUCGAUCGUCAAAUAUGAGCAUGGGGGCGAAAGACUAAUCGA